rnacentral:tRNA from 1 species
GGCCCUUUAGCUCAGCGGUUAGAGCGUGCGACUCAUAAUCGCCCGGUCACCGGUUCGAACCCAGCAAGGGCCACCA